CACUCUUAGGUUUCAAUGGCAAUACAAGAGAAAUUCAUCAAAGAUAUUUUACCAACCGACACAAAAUGGAAAGCUAAAGUGAUUGUUAUAGAGAAAUGAAUGUGGAAAACUGCUCGGUAUACUACCAAAAAAUACAUAAAUUUAAUUUUCUGUGAUUCACAGGGUACAAGAGUACAGGUAACGAUCUAUGAUAGGGAGAUCGAUACGUUUGAGAACAGACUGAUUUCAACAAAUAUUACAUAUCAAACAUACAAGUGAAAGAAAGCAAGGCACAAUACCGAGUCGUAGACAAUCAAUAUGAAUGAGUGAUUACUAGACAAACUUUGCUUGAAGAAGUUGAAGACAAGACAAUGCACACAAUAGCAUAUUACAAUUUCACUCAUUUUUCGUGAUUUGCCCCGCCAUAUGGAUCAAACGACAUCAAUUGAUCUUAUGGCAAUUGCAAUACUCCUCAAUCCCAAAAAACAAGUAUACAUCAGGAACAAUUUACAAGAAAUACAAGAAAUAAUACUUGUUAAUCAGGAGGAGAAGCCAAUAUUACUGACUUGUUGGGAUCAAUUUGCCACAGUUGACCGUGCUGCAAUUGAAGAUAUAAUCAGCACCAAACCUAUCAUUCUUGCAAUGCGUUUGAAACUUACAUUCUUCAAUGGUGCAAUAAAAAUGAGGCCUAUCUUGAGGACCUGAUCAAUCAAAAAUCACAUGUACAAUCAUCCUCUAUUAUCACUGAACCUCCACUAAAUCUUAUGACAACAAUAGAUACUGUUACACCAAUAUAGGAAAGAGCAUAUUCAGUUACAACAUCAGCUACAAUCAUAAAGCCAAAUCAAACACUAUGGUACAUGAUUUGUAAUAAAUGUAAAAAAUUCACAGGUGCUGAUGUAAAUCAACCUUUCACUUGUAAUAUUUGCUUGAAGAAAGAAUGCAUGGCUGAACCAAGGUUCAUUAUCUUUA